GACGAACGCUGGCGGCGUGCUUAACACAUGCAAGUCGAACGGAAAGGCCCAGCUUGCUGGGUACUCGAGUGGCGAACGGGUGAGUAACACGGGGGUGAUCUGCCCUCAAGUUUGGGAGAAGCCUAGGAAACAGGGUGGAAUACCGGAUAUGAUAAACUGUGGCACGGUGGGUGGAGGAAAGCAAUUGCGGGUGUGGAUGGGGCCGCGGCCUAUCAGCGUGUUGGUGGGGAAAUGGCCUACCAAGGCGACGACGGGUAGCCGACCUGAGAGGGAGAUCGGCCACACUGCUACUGCGACACGGCCCAGUCUCCUACGGGAGGCAGCAGUCGGGAAUAUUGCACAAUGGGCGCAAGCCUGUUGCAGCGACGCCGCGUUCGGGAUGACGGCCUUCGGGUUGUAAACCUCUUUCUCCGGGGACGAAGCGUGAGUGACGGUACCUGGAGAAGAAGCCCCGGCCAACUACGUG
rnacentral:rRNA from 1 species